rnacentral:rRNA from 1 species
GUGACUCCUACGGGGAGGCAGCAGUGGGGAAUAUUGCACAAUGGGGGAAACCCUGAUGCAGCCAUGCCGCGUGUGUGAAGAAGGCCUUCGGGUUGUAAAGCACUUUCAGUAGGGAGGAAGGUAGUGUAGUUAACACCUGCAUUAUUUGACGUUACCUACAGAAGAAGCACCGGCUAACUCCGUGCCAGCAGCCGCGGUAAUACGGAGGGUGCGAGCGUUAAUCGGAAUUACUGGGCGUAAAGCGCAUGCAGGCGGCCUGUUAAGUCAGAUGUGAAAGCCCGGGGCUUAACCUCGGAAUUGCAUUUGAAACUGGCAGGCUAGAGUCUUGUAGAGGGGGGUAGGAAUUUCAGGUGUAGCGGUGAAAUGCGUAGAGAUCUGAAGGAAUACCAGUGGCGAAGGCGGCCCCCUGGACAAAGACUGACGCUCAGAUGCGAAAGCGUGGGGAGCAAACAGGAUUAGAUACCCUGGUAG